GUUGAACGCUGGCGGCGUGCCUAAUACAUGCAAGUCGAGCGAACAGACGAGGAGCUUGCUCCUCUGACGUUAGCGGCGGACGGGUGAGUAACACGUGGAUAACCUACCUAUAAGACUGGGAUAACUUCGGGAAACCGGAGCUAAUACCGGAUAAUAUAUUGAACCGCAUGGUUCAAUAGUGAAAGACGGUUUUGCUGUCACUUAUAGAUGGAUCCGCGCCGCAUUAGCUAGUUGGUAAGGUAACGGCUUACCAAGGCGAUGAUGCGUAGCCGACCUGAGAGGGUGAUCGGCCACACUGGAACUGAGACACGGUCCAGACUCCUACGGGAGGCAGCAGUAGGGAAUCUUCCGCAAUGGGCGAAAGCCUGAUGGAGCCACGCCGCGUGAGUGAUGAAGGUCUUCGGAUCGUAAAACUCUGUUAGUAGGGAGGAACAAAUGUGUAAGUAACUAUUCACGUCUUGACGGUACCUAAUCAGAAAGCCACGGCUAACUACGUG
rnacentral:rRNA from 1 species